AGGAAUGUCGCUAUUCUCUGUGAGAAUUACAUCACUGUUGUCUUCGAGAUUGACAUCCAGAGAACCAUCAGACAUCGGUGGAUGAAGGUCUCUGGGAAGGCUGGUGUUGCUAUGCUCAAGUACUGCUGCAUCAUUUUUGUCACGGAUAUUGGUGUCUAGAUAAGGCAUUGGUGGAUGAAGGUAACUGGGAUUAUUUGUGCUGCUGUUCUCUGUGGGCAUUGCAUCACUUGUGUCUUGUAGAUUGGCAUCUGGAGAACCAUCAGACAUCAGUGGAUGAAGGUCACUGGGAAGGCUGAUGUUGCUGUGCUCAAGUACUGCUGCAUCGUUUUUGUCAAGGAGAUUGGUGUCUAGAUACGCAUCAGACAUUGAUGGAUGAAAGUUACUGGGAUUAUUUGCACUGCUAUUCUCUGUGCACACUGCAUCACUUUUUUCUUGCAGAUUGGUGCCUGGAGAACCAUCAAGGUUACUGGGAAGGCUUAUGCUGCUAUGCUCGAAGACUGCUGUAUCAUUUUUGUCAAGGAGAUUGGUGUCUAGAUAAGCAUCGGACACUGAUGGAUGAAGGUUACUGGGAUUAUUAGCGCUGCUAUUCUCUGUGGGCACUGCAUCACUUUUUUCUUGUAGAUUGGUGUCUGGAGAACCAUCAGACAUCAGUGGAUGAAGGUCACUAAGCUCGAGUACUGCUGCACCAUUUUUGUCAAGGAGAUUGGUGUCUGCAUAAGCGUCAGAUAUUGAUGGAUGAAGGUCACUGGGAUCAUUUGCGCUGCUAUUCUCUGUGGGCACUAGAUCACUUUUGUCUUGUAGAUUGGUGUCUGGACAAGUACUGGACAUUGAUGGAUGAAGAUCAACAGGAAUGUUUGUGCUGCUACUCCCCAUGAGUACCGUAUCACUU
rnacentral:lncRNA from 1 species